UUGAAUGCAGCCCUGGACUACAACGACCAGAAAUCUUUCCGGGUAGGGAGGCCAUCUUGAGCGUUGCUAGGACACGGAGACGCCCCUGGAAGAGGUGGCGGUAGUAUUUGGAGGAGGAGGGAUCAGGUACGAAAGAAUGAUGGCAUCGGGAAGGAAGAAGAAUUACUGUGCUUUCACAAUAACUCUAGAGGGAUCUGAUGAUGAAGGGAAGGAGAAAAGAACAGAUACUGAGAGCAUGCAGGAGGCUUUCGAAAAGUUCAGAAGACGGCGGCAGAUGUGGUCCAGCAGAACUCUCCUCCUCCUUUCAUCUGGGCCUCGUCCUCAGCUUGGCAUCGUGACUCGGCUCCCACUCCCGUGGAGAAGAUGAAAUGUCAAGCCAAGGAAAUAUUGGCGGAAUGAGGGCCUUGUAUACAAUUUGUCUCGCUGCAAGAAUAUGCCUCAUAAAGUUGAAAUAUGUGGACAGCCAGGCUGACAGUAAAAACUGAAGGCUCGUUA